UACGUAGGGUGCAAGCGUUGUCCGGAAUUAUUGGGCGUAAAGAGCUCGUAGGCGGUUUGUUGCGUCGGCUGUGAAAUCCCGAGGCUCAACCUCGGGUCUGCAGUCGAUACGAGCAAACUAGAGUGUUGCAGGGGAGACUGGAAUUCCUGGUGUAGCGGUGAAAUGCGCAGAUAUCAGGAGGAACACCGGUGGCGGAAGGCGGGUCUCUGGG
rnacentral:rRNA from 1 species